UUAAGUUAUUAAGGGCGCACGGUGGAUGCCUUGGCACUAGAAGCCGAUGAAGGACGUUACUAACGACGAUAUGCUUUGGGUAGCUGUAAGUAAGCGUUGAUCCAGAGAUUUCCGAAUGGGGAAACCCAGCACAAGUUAUGUUGUGUUAUCGACAAGUGAAUUCAUAGCUUGUCAGAAGGCAGACCCGGAGAACUGAAACAUCUUAGUACCCGGAGGAAGAGAAAGAAAAUUCGAUUCCCUGAGUAGCGGCGAGCGAAACGGGAAGAGCCCAAACCAAUAAGCUUGCUUAUUGGGGUUGUAGGACACUCUAUACGGAGUUACAAAGGAAUAUAUUAAACGAAUCAUCUGGAAAGUUGAAUCAAAGAAGGUAAUAAUCCUGUAGUUGAAAAUAUAUUCUCUCUUGAGUGGAUCCUGAGUACGACGGAGCACGUGAAAUUCCGUCGGAAUCUGGGAGGACCAUCUCCUAAGGCUAAAUACUCUCUAGUGACCGAUAGUGAACCAGUACCGUGAGGGAAAGGUGAAAAGCACCCCGACGA
rnacentral:rRNA from 1 species